rnacentral:rRNA from 1 species
AGACCCGAAACCCGGUGAUCUAGCCAUGGGCAGGUUGAAGGUUGGGUAACACUAACUGGAGGACCGAACCGACUAAUGUUGAAAAAUUAGCGGAUGACCUGUGGCUGGGGGUGAAAGGCCAAUCAAACCGGGAGAUAGCUGGUUCUCCCCGAAAGCUAUUUAGGUAGCGCCUCGUGAAUUCAUCUCCGGGGGUAGAGCACUGUUUCGGCCAGGGGGCCAUCCCGGCUUACCAAUCCGAUGCAAACUGCGAAUACCGGAGAAUGUUAUCACGGGAGACACACGGCGGGUGCUAACGUCCGUCGUGAAGAGGGAAACAACCCAGACCGCCAGCUAAGGUCCCAAAGUCAUGGUUAAGUGGGAAACGAUGUGGGAAGGCCCAGACAGCCAGGAUGUUGGCUUAGAAGCAGCCAUCAUUUAAAGAAAGCGUAAUAGCUCACUGGUCGAGUCGGCCUGCGCGGAAGAUGUAACGGGGCUAAACCAUGCACCGAAGCUGCGGCAGCGAACGUAUCACCCAAGACAACUUUGCAUAGUUGACGAUUGACGGAGCGAAGCGACGUCAAAGCGUUUUACAACGUCGAGUUGGCUUAGGGAUACGUUCGUUGGGUAGGGGAGCGUUCUGUAAGCCGUUGAAGGUGUGUCGUGAGGCAUGCUGGAGGUAUCAGAAGUGCGAAUGC